rnacentral:tRNA from 1 species
GCCGAUGUAGCUCAGUUGGCUAGAGCGCCACUUUUGUAAAGUGGAUGUCGUGGGUUCAAGUCCCACCAUCGGCU